CCUAGUCAAAAUAAGCCAUUUAAUGUUACAUUAUAAAUAACUAUUAAAAAUGCACGCACUGCAGCAGCUGUCUAUACAAAUGUAUCAAUACAUUAAAUGCUGACUUUUUUUAUUUUGAGUUCUUUAAUGUGUUUUGAGUGUGCUUUAAAAUGUGUUUAAAAGUGUUCACGUUUCCUCACCAAUAUUUCAGCUGCAGUAUGUGAGUGAGGUUGCCAUGGAGAUCGCGUGUGAGGAGGUGAUGCAUGUGGUUGGAGCUGAACUGGAACUACAACAGGAUGGAGACAUUAGCCAACAUCAUGAAGGCCCUGGCACCUGGAUCGUUCCCAAGCAUUACAAUCUUCAGGAGGACUCCAGUGAGGAUGAGGAUGGCGUGCCGAUGCAGGUGCUCCGCGAGGGCCUGGGCGACUGCGUGUGUUGUGUGUGCGGUGAGCGCUUCGCGUUCCUCGCCCACCUGAUUGAGCACUUCGGUGUGCACAGGUCCGAUGUGCGCUGUCACCUCUGCCAGGUGAUGUUCCCACGCGUCAUCUCACUGGCCCUGCACCUGGAGAACUCCCACUCAGGGUGCCGCCUUUUCUGCGAUGGCUGUGGCCUCACCUUCCGUAGCGCCUGGCACAUGAACGAGCACAUGGAGCAGCACGCGCGGAGGAAGGAGGUGCCAGGACCGCGCACUCUGAGGCCUUCGUCGUCGUACCAGAAUUCCCGGGAGGUGGAGAUGGUGGAGGAGUCCGUGGUGGAGAACGAGGAGAUGAACGUAAAGUACCUGAAGGACGAGGAGCAGGAGGUGGAGGUGACAAAGGUCAACGGGUCCAUAGAAAACCACAUCCUGGAUAUUCCAGAGAAUCGGCUGGUGUUGCGAGCUUGCGAGCUUGAUCAUAAUUAUUAUUGCACACGGAGCCUCCCAAAGCCUAUGGUUGUCCCAGUGAAUGCACACAACAUGCUGGGCUCUGUCGUGGAAACUUCAGACAAAGUCACAAACACCAGCAGCGAAACUUUAUAUGUGAACAAUAAUAAAUCACACACUAGGACAUCCUCCAAAGACUCGGAGCCUGAGGGUGGUCAGCAGGAAACGGUCAAAGUUGUGGUGCUUCGCAAUUUGCCCCAGAAAGCGGGCAGGACUAGCGCGUCCAUUUUGGAAGCAGCCUAUAACAAGGUGAUGAAAAGCCAAAGUCGGAGAGUUGAUGCCGUCGAAGGAAAAGCCGCUGUUUGCGGUUCUGCCUCGGCCGUCCCACAGUCAGCGCCGGUUGAGCUGAACAUCAAAGUGGAAGACGACUACGAAGACGGUGGUUGGGAUUGCGGCCCGAUUCAGGAGGAAGUUGUGAAGGAAGAAGACGAGGACAGCGUCCCUAGCAGCGACCAGGACGACGGCGAUUCGUUGCCCCCGGGUGACUCGGCGUAUACCCCCGAGGAGGAUCUGAACUCUGACACCGACUCCACCACGUCCAUCAACUACAACAGUGACACCUCAGCAGACGGCUUGCAGAGAUCUCGCAGCAAAGGGAGAAGGCUGAGGGCUAGGAGCGGGCGACAGAAGCGAGCGCGCAGCAGCGUGGUCCAGAAGCCCCUCGCCGCGGCCCUAGAGCCAGGCUCGUCCGUAGACGGCUCAAUCUGCGUCUCCUGCGGCCUCCGCAGAGAUCCUGGUGCGGUGGGGCGGUGCGGCUGCGCACCGCUGCACGCUUGCUGCCUGUGCGGCCUCGCGCAAGGGACGGAAGAGCAGCUGCUCAAACACCAGGCCGAGAAGCACCCGUCCACCAAGUACGUCUGCGCCAGCUGCCUGUGCGUCUUUCCCGACCAGAAUAUUUUCACAAAGCACGCCUGCUGCAGCAAGCCCGAGACGCCUGCCGGCCCACCGCUGGCCCAGGACAAGAACGCAGGCAGCUCCAAAAAUCUGCCCCUGAUGAUUCUGAAUUUUGUGCCUUCACCCUCCACUGGAGGGCCUUCUAAGCCCCCUCUCAGCACCGGGGACAGUCAGUGCAGGGCCUUGCCUGCCCUUCUGCUCACCAACAAUGUCAUCGUUAACCCUCUUCAGAAACUUGGCGCCUUGACAAACUCCUCGCUGCCUGUUUUGCCCAGCAAACCGUCCUCGCCCUCUAAUCAAUCAGUGCCAGUGCAGGUAAUGGCCACUAUGUCACUGAACAGUGAGCAGAAGGUAACGGGUUUAGUCUUAAAAGGGGCACAGGGCCCAGGGAUGUCUGUAUCUACAGUGUCUCAGGCAGAGACGGGGCAGCUUAACGUAGUAAUGCAUCCGCAGACCAAAGCGGAGAGAGCAGCUCCCUCUGCCGCUGACGUGAAGCCAGCUAAAAUGGUUAUCCAAGGCGUCGUCAUGUCCCA
ensembl:lncRNA